GUUGUGGUAAUGUGGAUAAGUCAUCUGACUGAGAACCACAAGGUACAGGGUUCAAAUCCCUGCCACAGCU
rnacentral:tRNA from 1 species